rnacentral:rRNA from 1 species
GGGGCAUCUGAUCAGCGACGCCGCGUGGGUGAGACGCCUGCGGGUUGUAAAGCUCUUUCGGUUGGGAAGAAAAGUUCUGACCUAACACGUCGGGACCUUGACGUAACCAACUAAAGAAGCACCGGCUAACUCUGUGCCAGCAGCCGCGGUAAUACGGAGGGUGCGAGCGUUAUUCGGAAUUACUGGGCGUAAAGCGCGCGUAGGCGGCUUUGCAAGCCGGAUGUGAAAUCCCCGGGCUUAACCUGGGAACUGCCUUUGGGACUGCAUUUCUAGAGUAUGGGAGAGGGAAGUGGAAUUUCAGGUGUAGCGGUGAAAUGCGUAGAUAUCGAAGGAACACCAGUGGCGAAGGCGACUCCCUGGACCAAUACUGACGCUCACGCGAA